UCAAAGUCAAGAGCGUGAUGGCCGUCGCGCACGAGACCAACGCCGUCAAGAACUUAAAGAUCGUGAGCCAUAGCAUGAGCUGGAACGAGUGGGGUCCAUAGUAGGUCCACGCGUUGAGGAGGUGGGUCAUACCGCAGAGGACGAUGAAGGCGAUGAACUGUACGAGUACCCAUUUAAAGGGAACGUUGGAGAAGCUGAUGAAGUAGAGAAGCUCGAGGGGGAUGGAGAAGUAGGCGAUGGCGAUUAGGAGAUCGCUCACUCUCUGGCAUUCUAGGAUUGUGUGGACGGUGAAGAAGUAGUAGCCUUCGUCGUCGCAGUUGCAGCUUCCGUAGUCGUUGUUGUCUCCGGUGACGAGGGCGAUUAGAGCGAAGAGAAGCAAGCCUAGACCUAAGGAUCUUAACAUCUUGAUAAGCUCGGCGUCAGAUCCAAUGGAAACGGAGAUUCAAUGUUAAAGGAGAGACCUUUCGAAUCUAGGAGAGGUGAUUAGAGAGACCCGUCUCGGUGAAACAGGAUUUGCAUCGGACGGAAUCUUUAUGUCGGGUCAAAUCUGAAAUUUUUUUCUUACAGAAGAGGAGAAACAGAACAGAAGAGAAGAGAAACCGAGUUUUGUCGGGGCGUGUUUGAUCUUUUUACGGGGGUUUCAGACUUGAGUCAGCAACAGUUCAAAGUCUUUUAAGACAAAAAGGAGCAGACUUUGAGCUCAAGCGGUUUCUGGAGAAAGUUGCUUAAUAAAGAAAAAAUGGGUUUUCAUGAACACAUAAAUGCAUCAUUAACAGGUUAAUUCCCUUACGAUAGAAUUUUUAAAAAAAAUUACAAGUGGUUGACAAAAAAAAAAUUACAAGUUGACAUAAAAUAACUAAAAAUAUUUUAAAAAGAUACACUUUUUACAUUUUCAAUGCAUUUUUUAAUCGAUAAUAGUUAUAAAUUUCAAAGAAAUUAAUUGUGAUUUUUGUUUUGUGCUUGACUAAAAAUUGUGAUCGAGGUAAAUAGUUAAUCACAAAAACAAUACAUUUAUAACUAAAAUUUGAGAUGUUUUAUUAAGAUGUAUAAAAAUUUUAAAAUAUGUAACAACUUAAAGCAGAAGAAGUAAUUACUAUGAACUUCAAUGUAGAAAAAAAUUAGUCAAAUAUUGAGGAAAUAUAAAGCAAACAAAAGAAGUGUAUUUGUAUUCAUAACAGAGCAUUUUCUUUUCAUGUGAGCAAAACAAUAACAAACUAUAUAAACAUAGGAGAAGAAAAGAGUGAGAAAAGAAAAGGAAUGAAAUGAAAGAGAAGCAGGAAAAAAAGGCUGUGGAGUUUAUACAUAUAUUAACCAAGAAAGAACAAAAAGCAUCACUCAACUUCUAUUAUCUCUGGUGAAAACACUUCAGAUAAGAUUCUGUCUUUUUAAGUCAUAUCUCUCUCUCAGUUCAGAUUCUUUCUCAGGGCUUCAGUUUCUAAUUUGGAUCUAAACCCUACACACGUCUCUGGAAGCUAAUCCGGCAUUUGCUGCUCGUCAUCUCCAUUCUCAAACGACUCAUGUCCUAGACGUCCUGCACAAGAUUACAUCCAUUAGGUACACAAGUCACAUUAUCCCCAAGGAGAGCUUUAGCUUUGCUUUAUCUCUACCAUUAUUACAUAGCAUUAGUUUUAAGAAAGUAUUGAGGCUUUCUUUACCUGACAAAUCAUACCCACCGCCACCACCUCUACCGUCAUGACCACUGCUGCCUCCUCCUCCCCAUUCAGAUGGCCGGGGAUGUGUCAUCUGCAUUCCCUGCGGCGCUUGCAUCAUGAAAUGAUGAGAUCCACCCAUACCGGUUUGUUGAUGUUGAUGGUGAUGAUGAUGCUGCUCAUCGGUUCCCCUCAUUGGAUUUCUACCAGGAGAUUCCAUAACAGAACGGAAGCCCAUGCCAAGCAACGGUCCAGGACCCGGUCCAGGUCCAGUGCUAGAGGGAGAAGUUAACCGACUUCCGCUGUUGGAAGCUUCCCCUUUCACACCACUCCCUGCAGCAUCCUUCUUUCUAUCAAGCUGAAACGUACCAAGAAUCACCUGUUUUUGCACAAACCCCAAGGCGAUCAAUCUAAAGCCAUAACUUACUAAUAUAACACAUGAACCAAAAAAUGAAAGUUGCAAUUAUGAUACAAGAGGAGUUUUACCUGAACCGGACCAGAAGCUGUCAAGUGAGUCCCAACAGCUCCGCCGAUGAUCUGACCAUCAGAUCUAGAUAAAGAAACGCAAAGUCCACCGGUUUUCCCACCUUGUUCAGAUCGGAUAAAUGAUCCGGAUAGUGAGAUAAUCUCGUAAUGACCCUGAAUAAAUAAUCGAAAUUGAAGCAAGUCAAACAACUAUAUACAAACAUCAAAGAAAAGCAAGUCUAAAUAAAGAAUACUUGACUUAAUUCUUCUCUAGCACACAGAACAGAGAAGAUCAGGGAGAAAGAAAGUAAAUUCAUCUAGCCUUUGGGAAGAAAUAUCACCUCAUAAGAUAUGUUGCCUCCUGGCUGACGCAAGGAUGCAGUAGAGAUGGUGCCAGAUGCAGAUAGAACGCAUAGCUCAUGCUUGCUUUGCUGUGCAAACAUCACAAUCUUCUGAGCCACAUCCUGUCACCAGAGAACCACUUCAAAAGCGUUAAAAGAUUCCUCUAUGCACUCACAUCAAUUAAAACAAAAGGCAGUAUAUUUCCUCUAUUAGCUUUUAGCAUCACAACUUGGACAGUAGAUUUACAGACAAUGCUAUAGAUUAUCCUAAUCAGAAAAUAUAUAGAGUGAGACAUACCUCACCAGGAGCUAUGUUAACGAUAUGCGGAGUAAAGCUUUGCCCAGUUUUCCCUGCAACCCAAAAAUUCAAGAAAAGUGAUGCACUGUUACAGAACCUCUCUAACCAAUGUUUCACUGCAUCUAUUGAAGCAUAAAGCUAACAUUUUUCUAAUCAUUAUCAACUAAACCAUCAAAAUUCAAUAGAAAGAUUGAAACUUUACAAUCAAUGAGCAUCAGAUUAGGAGAAACACGAAAGAGGGUUCUCACCGACGGAGCCAAGGUGAGAUUUUUUCGAUGGCCCGGCACUAGACGACGCAGCCGCUUGCUCUCUCCUCUCCUUAGCAGACGAGCUGCUCGCGGCGGACGCCAUUUUCUUCUGUAACAAUAUUUUGUUAUUUUUUAACAAAAUAACAGUUUGAAAAUAAAGUAUCAUAUUAAUGUGUUAAAGGCUAUGGCACACAUGUAUAAUUUAACAAUAUAAUAAAUUCAAUACAAUUAUACAAAUACUUUACUAAUCAUUUUUUAAAAUUACGCAAAUACGUUUGUUGAUAAAAACACAAGUAUGAUUACAAAAAAUACAUAUAUAUUACAAAGAAUUAAACAAAUAUAUAAAUUUAAUUUUAAAUAAUAUAUACAAAACAAAUAAUAUACCCGCCCUCACUCUCUAGUGUAGACUUAAAAUCACCAAAAAAUAAUAUAUAAAAUUAAAUAUUAUUAAAUCUAAUAAAACUGGAACAAGAAAAAUAAAUCUAAUAAUAUUAUGUUAUUUUUUCGCUGAAAAUGCGAAAGCAUUACGUAUAUAUAGUUUCGGACCAACCAAUCCCCAAACUAGGCUUCUCAUCAUCGUAUAACAAGAGAACAACAACAACAACAAAACUAGACUUCUCAUCAUCAUCUUACAAGUAUCACCACUUUGGUUUCCUUCAUUUCUUGAUUCUUGAAUCAUCUUCAAGAUUCUCAAAACUUGUUUCUUCCCUCUGAGCUUUGCUUCAAACUUCACUCGCUUGCGCUCUGUAAAGCCCUUCUAAGCUCAGAAGCCAUGACAUGCAAAAGAACAGGUUUCUGAAUCAUACCAUUCAUCCCCAUUUGCAAACACCUCUCCCUAACAUGAUCCUCAGUACUCGCAGUCAAAGCUAUAAUCAAAGGCCAAUGAUGUCCACAAAACUUCCUUAUCUUCAUCGCUACUUCGAAACCAUCCAUCUCAGGCAUCUGCAGAUCCAAUAUCACAACCCUAUACGACAUUUCCACAUUAGACAAGGCACUCAAACACUCGAAACCAGAAGACACAGCUGUCACUUCGCAUCCAAGUUUCUCUAAAAGCCUCUUGGUUACGGUUCUGUUCACAUCGUCAUCAUCUGCUAGAGUGAUUCUUAGACCACGAAGAAUCGAGUUUGAGUUUGGAUGUUGAAGCUCUGGAGCGUUUCCUGCUAAGAUUGAUCUUCUAAUAGAAGGUCUUGUCUGAAACCUCAGAACCAGUUGCAUACUCUGUGUUUGUCCAUGAGACUUUGGUGAUAUCCAUAUGUUCCCUUGCAUCAUCUGCAGACAAAUAUCAAAUUACAUAUUAGGCUGGGCAUUUUUAUCCCAAACCAAAACCGAACCUUAAUCCGAACCGAAAAAACGAAAGCCUAUCCGCUAUAAAAAAUAUCCGAACGAAAUUUAAGAGCUAGCUAAUUUUGGGUUCGAAACUUAAGAAUCCGAACCGAAAUCCAAAUUAGGAUCUGAAAAAAUCCGAAAUUAGUUAAAUAUAUAAUGCUUUUAGAUAUUUUAAAGCAUUUUAAAGAUUCUUGUAGUUUGUUCUAUUUGUUAUUUUCAAUACUUAUUAGGUAGUUUAACUAGUUUUUGACUUUUUGUAUAGAUUUUGAAUAAUUUAUAUAUUUUGAGUCUUUUUGGUCAAUUUUUUAAUUUAAAGAAAAAAAAUUUUGAACAAUUUCAGACAUCGGUUAUAACCUGACCCAAACUGAAUCCGGAAGGAUCCAAACUGAAACUGAUCCAAAAAUUAUUGAAAAUUGAACUUAUGAACAUAGUACCGAAAAUCCAAACACCCAUGCCUAUCACAUAUACAGAGACUGUAUUAGAAAAAUAAAAACAGAUGUAUAUAUGUGAUUCACUAACCUGUGCAAGUUUUCUACACAUGCCUAAGCUCAAGCCUUCUUUAAUCCCAUUGCUAUGAUACCUUCUGUUUGUAACAUGCCUCAUUGCAAUCACCGAACCAUCCAACGGAGGACUCUUAAUCUCAUUAAUCUCAACUUCAAACUUAACACCGAGCGAAUCAUCAGACAAAUGAGACUUCCACAUCCCACUCUCUCUCUUGUUCUUGUCCUGACUACUCCCAGUGCCUUCAGACACAACCCUAAACGUAACCGUCUUCCCUCCUUCGCUCAUAUCCAAGAUAUACCCAAGCAUAUACAUCACAAGCUGAAACGUCCUCUUCUCAUCUCCCACCACUAAGCUAGGCAAACGGGUCUGAACAUCCAUCUCAAACCCGUAGCCUUUGUAAACGCUCAAGCAUUUCGCCACGCAGGCUGCUUCUCUUAUCAGAGAAUGGAGCUGAAACCUUUUGACCUCCAACGGAGACUUCCCGUUGUCUUUAGGAGAAAUGUCUAUCACGUCGUUGAUCAAAGCAGAGAGGACAGUACUCGUUUUCAUGAGCGCGUCGACGAUGAUCUUCUGGUCGAGGCUCAUGCUCUCAGACUGGAACAUCGAGAGGAGGCCGAGGAUCGUGUGCAUCGGCCUCCUCAUGCCGUGACUCAUGACCUUUUGGCAAGUGUUCCUCGCCUGGCUCGCCAUCAUCGCGUUCUGUUUCGCCCGGAGCAAAGCUCGGUUUUGAAUACCGAGCUUUUCUCUCAUCAGCUGCGACUCCUCGAGCACCGAGGCGUGCGAGAGAGCCACAGCUACUUGGUCAGCGACGACCUCAGCUAUCUCGAUCUCUCUGUCCGUCCAAACGCGAGCGUUCGCGUUUGGAAGGACCAGAACCAUUAUAGCGUAGGAAGUAUCAACAAACUCAGGAGUCCCUCCUUUGAAAUUCGACCCGUGGAGCAUCGGCAUCCGAAUAGCCGCCACGGGACCACUCUCAUCAGAACCACUGCUCUCAAUCGCAAGAAGAGAAUCUUUCCUCAAAAUCGCAACCACUUUCGCCUCUCUAACCUGAACAACAUCAGGAUCGUUGAUCGGCACCACUCUAAAGCUCCUCAUAGAAUUCGACCUCAGCUCAUGAGUCAAAUGCAUCUCUGUUCUGCUCUCGUUAGGCAUCCAGACAGCAGAGUUCUGCAAAUCAAGAAUCUUGGAGAGCUCGACGAGCGUCGUCCUCAGGAUCAUAUGCUUAUCAAGAGACUUCCUAAUCUCUCUAGUAAGCAUCCUAACGUGCACACUCAUCUCCUUCUGCCGUUUCAUCAGCCCAACCUCCUCGUUAAGCUCAAGCACGUUCUGCUUCAAGUAAAGCUCUCUGACUUUCCACUUCAGCAGCAAAGGGAUCAAAGUCAAGAGCGUGAUGGCCGUCGCGCACGAGACCAACGCCGUCAAGAACUUAAAGAUCGUGAGCCAUAGCAUGAGCUGGAACGAGUGGGGUCCAUAGUAGGUCCACGCGUUGAGGAGGUGGGUCAUACCGCAGAGGACGAUGAAGGCGAUGAACUGUACGAGUACCCAUUUAAAGGGAACGUUGGAGAAGCUGAUGAAGUAGAGAAGCUCGAGGGGGAUGGAGAAGUAG
rnacentral:lncRNA from 1 species